GAUGAACGCUGGCGGCGUGCCUAAUACAUGCAAGUCGAGCGAACAGACGAGGAGCAUGCUCCUCUGACGUUAGCGGCGGACGGGUGAGUAACACGUGGAUAACCUACCUAUAAGACUGGGAUAACUUCGGGAAACCGGAGCUAAUACCGGAUAAUAUAUUGAACCGCAUGGUUCAAUAGUGAAAGACGGUUUUGCUGUCACUUAUAGAUGGAUCCGCGCCGCAUUAGCUAGUUGGUAAGGUAACGGCUUACCAAGGCAACGAUGCGUAGCCGACCUGAGAGGGUGAUCGGCCACACUGGAACUGAGACACGGUCCAGACUCCUACGGGAGGCAGCAGUAGGGAAUCUUCCGCAAUGGGCGAAAGCUUGACGGAGCAACGCCGCGUGAGUGAUGAAGGUCUUCGGAUCGUAAAACUCUGUUAUUAGGGAAGAACAAAUGUGUAAGUAACUAUGCACGUCUUGACGGUACCUAAUCAGAAAGCCACGGCUAACUACGU
rnacentral:rRNA from 1 species